GAUGAACGCUGGCGGCGUGCCUAAUACAUGCAAGUCGAGCGAACAGACGAGGAGCUUGCUCCUCUGACGUUAGCGGCGGACGGGUGAGUAACACGUGGAUAACCUACCUAUAAGACUGGGAUAACUUCGGGAAACCGGAGCUAAUACCGGAUAAUAUAUUGAACCGCAUGGUUCAAUAGUGAAAGACGGUUUUGCUGUCACUUAUAGAUGGAUCCGCGCCGCAUUAGCUAGUUGGUAAGGUAACGGCCUACCAAGGCAACGAUGCGUAGCCGACCUGAGAGGGUGAUCGGCCACACUGGAACUGAGACACGGUCCAGACUCCUACGGGAGGCAGCAGUAGGGAAUCUUCCGCAAUGGGCGAAAGCUUGACGGAGCAACGCCGCGUGAGUGAUGAAGGUCUUCGGAUCGUGAAACUCUGUUAUUAGGGAAGAACAAAUGUGUAAGUAACUAUGCACGUCUUGACGGUACCUAAUCAGAAAGCCACGGCUAACUACGUG
rnacentral:rRNA from 1 species